rnacentral:rRNA from 1 species
UAACGCGUGAGGAACCUGCCUCAAAGAGGGGGACAACNGUUGGAAACGACUGCUAAUACCGCAUAAGCCCACGGUGCCGCAUGGUACAGAGGGAAAAGGAGCAAUCCGCUUUGAGAUAGCCUCGCGUCCGAUUAGCUAGUUGGUGAGGUAACGGCCCACCAAGGCGACGAUCGGUAGCCGGACUGUGAGGUUGAACGGCCACAUUGGGACUGAGACACGGCCCAGACUCCUACGGGAGGCAGCAGUGGGGAAUAUUGCACAAUGGGGGAAACCCUGAUGCAGCGACGCCGCGUGGAGGAAGAAGGUCUUCGGAUUGUAAACUCCUGUUGUUGGGGAAGAUAAUGACGGUACCCAACAAGGAAGUGACGGCUAACUACGUGCCAGCAGCCGCGGUAAAACGUAGGUCACAAGCGUUGUCCGGAAUUACUGGGUGUAAAGGGAGCGCAGGCGGGAAGACAAGUUGGAAGUGAAAUCUAUGGGCUCAACCCAUAAACUGCUUUCAAAACUGUUUUUCUUGAGUAGUGCAGAGGUAGGCGGAAUUCCCGGUGUAGCGGUGGAAUGCGUAGAUAUCGGGAGGAACACCAGUGGCGAAGGCGGCCUACUGGGCACCAACUGACGCUGAGGCUCGAAAGUGUGGGUAGCAAACAGGAUUAGAUACCCUGGUAGUCCACACCGUAAACGAUGAUUACUAGGUGU